rnacentral:rRNA from 1 species
UACGAAGGGUGCAAGCGUUAAUCGGAAUUACUGGGCGUAAAGCGCGCGUAGGUGGUUCAGCAAGUUGGAUGUGAAAGCCCUGGGCUCAACCUGGGAACUGCAUCCAAAACUACUGAGCUAGAGUACGGUAGAGGGUAGUGGAAUUUCCUGUGUAGCGGUGAAAUGCGUAGAUAUCAGAAGGAACAUCAGUGGCGAAGGCGGCUUCCUGGACCAAUACUGACGAUCAGGUGCGAAAGCGUGGGGAGCAAACAGGAUUAGAAACCCCGGUAGU